ACAGGAUUAGAUACCCUGGUAGUCCACGCCCUAAACGAUGUCUACUAGUUGUCGGGUUUUAAUUAACUUGGUAACGCAGCUAACGCGUGAAGUAGACCGCCUGGGGAGUACGGUCGCAAGAUUAAAACUCAAAGGAAUUGACGGGGACCCGCACAAGCGGUGGAUGAUGUGGAUUAAUUCGAUGCAACGCGAAAAACCUUACCUACCCUUGACAUGUACGGAAGGCCGAAGAGAUUUGGCUGUGCUCGAAAGAGAACCGUAACACAGGUGCUGCAUGGCUGUCGUCAGCUCGUGUCGUGAGAUGUUGGGUUAAGUUCCGCAACGAGCGCAACCCUUGUCAUUAGUUGCUACGAAAGGGCACUCUAAUGAGACUGCCGGUGACAAACCGGAGGAAGGUGGGGAUGACGUCAAGUCCUCAUGGCCCUUAUGGGUAGGGCUUCACACGUCAUACAAUGGUACAUACAGAGCGCCGCCAACCCGCGAGGGGGAGCUAAUCGCAGAAAGUGUAUCGUAGUCCGGAUUGUAGUCUGCAACUCGACUGCAUGAAGUUGGAAUCGCUAGUAAUCGCGGAUCAGCAUGUCGCGGUGAAUACGUUCCCGGGUCUUGUACACACCGCCCGUCACACCAUGGGAGCGGGUUUUACCAGAAGUAGGUAGCUCAACCGCAAGGAGGGCGCUUACCACGGUAGGAUUCGUGACUGGGGUGAAGUCGUAACAAGGUAGCCGUAAAU
rnacentral:rRNA from 1 species